UACGUAGGGUGCGAGCGUUAAUCGGAAUUACUGGGCGUAAAGCGUGCGCAGGCGGUAUUGUAAGUCUGUCGUGAAAUCCCCGGGCUUAACCUGGGAAUGGCGAUGGAGACUGCAAUGCUGGAAUCUGGCAGAGGGGGGUAGAAUUCCACGUGUAGCAGUGAAAUGCGUAGAGAUGUGGAGGAACACCGAUGGCGAAGGCAGCCCCCUGGGUCAAGAUUGACGCUCAUGCACGAAAGCGUGGGGAGCAAACAGG
rnacentral:rRNA from 1 species